rnacentral:rRNA from 1 species
GAGACACGGUCCAGACUCCUACGGGAGGCAGCAGUGGGGAAUAUUGGACAAUGGGCGAAAGCCUGAUCCAGCCAUGCCGCGUGUGUGAAGAAGGUCUUCGGAUUGUAAAGCACUUUAAGUUGGGAGGAAGGGCAUUAACCUAAUACGUUAGUGUUUUGACGUUACCGACAGAAUAAGCACCGGCUAACUCUGUGCCAGCAGCCGCGGUAAUACAGAGGGUGCAAGCGUUAAUCGGAAUUACUGGGCGUAAAGCGCGCGUAGGUGGUUUGUUAAGUUGGAUGUGAAAUCCCCGGGCUCAACCUGGGAACUGCAUUCAAAACUGACAAGCUANAAUAUGGUAGAAGGUGGUGGAAUUUCCUGUGUAGCGGUGAAAUGCGUAGAUAUAGGAAGGAACACCAGUGGCGAAGGCGACCACCUGGACUGAUACUGACACUGANGUGCGAAAGCGUGGGGAGCAAACAGG